AUUGUAUACUAACCCGUUUUCGAUUUCCAUCGGCUUGUGAACUUUCCCGGCUCUUCAAUCCUCUCCGGCGAACACAUCGGCGAUCUCUGUCUCUAUCCGGCGAAGUCAGUCAUGAAGGUUAGGGCAUCAGUGAAGAAGAUGUGCGAGUUCUGUCGCACAAUCAAGCGGCGCGGGCGGGUAUAUGUGCUAUGUACAUCUAAUCCCAAGCACAAACAAAGACAAGGCUAUUCAACCUUUGCCUCUGAAGGCCUCAUAUCAACUACGCCUGUGAUGACGAGGGUUAAGCAGGAUACUUCAGUUACCGAAGGUAUUCACUCUCUCGUUCCUGCUAAGAUCGAGGCAACUGUGACACCUUGGUGGAAAAGGGGUAUAGCUUCCAUUCUCUUCAAGGACGGACAGUAAGCAAGUAGAAGUUUUGUUGCAAAGAGUGUUACACUAUAGGCACGCACUCCUAAACAUUAUUGCUUUCUUGAACAUUGGUCAGCUUUCUUGCUGCUGUUAUUUCUCUCGCCCCUUCAUACCCUUGAACACAUUGUCAUGUGUGCUAUAGUUACAAUUGCAAUGAGCUAUAAGUAUGUUAGUACCUUCUUUUCUUUGAGUUAAUUACCGAGGCAAAUGUCCCGUUCCUUGCUUUCUACUAUUGACCAUGGAGUUGCUGAUUCAUCCAUUGGAGAAGAGAAAAACAGGAUGAUUCAAAUUUCUUUACUUUUUCUAUGGAAUACUAUGUUUUUCCUUGAUCCGAGGGUCUAUCGAAACAACCUCUCUGCCUCUGAGGUACAGGUAAGGUCUGCAUAUACUCCACCUCCCCAGAUCCCAUUGUGUAGCAGUACACUUGGUACACCGUUGGUUUGUUUAUAGAAUAGUAAAGGUUCCUUUCAGGAUUGGCCCUAGUUGCAUGAAGAAUGAAAGUGGACUUGCUUUAAAAUGGGAUAUUAAGCGAACUUUUAAUAAUUAUGUCAAACAUUAUUCGAGUGUUUGUUAGGUGUAUUAUUGGAUAUCAAUUAUUUUGAUGACUCCA